rnacentral:rRNA from 1 species
GACGAACCGAGCGAACGUUGUUCGGAAUCACUGGGCCUAAAGGGCGCGUAGGCGGGUGCUCAAGUCCGGGGUGAAAUCCCACAGCUCAACUGUGGAACUGCCUCGGAUACUGGGUGCCUCGAGGGUGGUAGGGGUAUGCGGAACUAUCGGUGGAGCGGUGAAAUGCGUUGAUAUCGAUAGGAACUCCGGUGGCGAAGGCGGCAUACUGGACCACAUCUGACGCUGAGGCGCGAAAGCCAGGGGAGCAAACGGG